AGGAGCCGUAUGAGGUGGGAAUCUCAUGUACGGUUUUGAUGCAGAGAUCAUUGAAAUGGAAUGAACGUCCGUAACGGAUGUCAGCUCAAUUGGAAGGGGAAUAUGUAGAAGCUUUACAAAAUUAUUAUGAAGCUAUGUGACUAGCAACUGACC
rnacentral:ncRNA from 1 species